rnacentral:lncRNA from 1 species
AUAAUAUUUACUCUCUCUUAAUAAAUCAUCCUAUCAAGUUGCUAUGGUGAAGGCAACCCAAAAGGACCAUGCACAACCGGGUCAAAUACUUGCCUAAUAUAGUUGCAGCCUUAGACACUAUUCCAACAGUCUCCCACUUGGAUAAGUCUAGUAACUAUAUGCACAAGUACAAUUCGGUUUGCAAUCGUAGCUCUCAAAGACGCUGUCAAACUCUGAUCUAAUCAAUCUUGUCCUUUAGAUAAGGGAUCGUACAGUCCUCUGUUAGAUAUCAUGCUGACAAUCCUAUGGAAUGGUUAGUCAAGCAUUUAGGUUUCUCGAUCUCUGAUUUAUUUGACAUAGAACUUAAUCGAACACAUCAAUUCAGUUCUGACCGGGCCCGGCACAUAAGUCAAAUCAAAUCAUCGAGCGGCCGAGAUAUCGCUUUUACCUUCUUAGAUAAAAGUUACAGAUAAACUUCGACUUAUAUGCAUUUACUUAUUCAUUAACCAACUAUACACAACAAUACGUUUUAUAACACCAAGUUACUGAUGCGUUUUCGUAUUAUCAAUGUACAAUCAAUUAACAAAUAAUAAACCAUAUAUCUAGGUUUUAAGACUAUAUGAUAUUAUCGUCUUGCGAUCACCUUUUAUAUCGUAUUCCAUAAGGUGAUUCCAGCAAGCGCGGGUUUAUUCCAAUGCUCAAAACUAGUUCAUAAGCACUCAUGAACGUUGCAGCAAUCCUUUGCUAUGUCUAACACCAUUUAGACAUUCUACACACCAAUUCAUGACAAUCUUCAUUCAUAUCUACUUCCAACAUAUGAACGAUUGUGGACCAUUUGAACAAUUCGAUUAUUCCUAAUAAACUCAAUUAUUCUGGAAGUCAAAACAUGCAAAGUGAAACAAUAGCUAAACAAUUAACAUAAGAUAGUAACAUUACUCAUAAAUAAAACUCCUUUAUUUAAUCAUCAAAUGUCAAUUACAUUUAUCUAUUACACGUUUCUAAUACUAUCUAAUCUAUGCUAAUAUCAUCCUUCAGCCCAAUACUCCUAGCAUGCUGCAAGUGCUUAACCCUACUCAGUCCCUUCGUAAGCGGAUCUGCUGGGUUAUCUUCUGAUGAUAUCCUCUUCACUACGAGUUGUCCUUCUUCUACACGAUGUCUAAUGAAGUGAUAUUUUCUGUCGAUAUGUCUUGAUCUACCAUGAUCCCUCGGUUCCUUGGUCAAGGCAACCGCUCCUUCGUUAUCACAGAAAAUCUCCAUGGGCUCCUUUAUGGCAGGUACAACUCCAAGAUCACCGAUGAAGUUCUUUAGCCAUAUUGCCUCCUUCGACGCUUCGCUCGCUGCAAUGUACUCUGAUUCGCACGUUGAAUCAGCUACGGUUUCCUGCUUGGAACUCUUCCAUGUCACUGCUCCUCCAUUUAGGGUAAAGACCCAGCCCGACUGCGAACGGUAGUUGUCCCUGUCGGUCUGAAAACUGGCGUCACUAUACCCUCGCACCUUCAAGUCAUCACUCCCUCCGAGGACUAAGAACCAUUCCUUCGUCCUCCGAAGGUACUUAAGGAUAUUCUUCACCGCAAUCCAAUGUGCUUUGCCAGGAUUCCCUUGAUAUCUGCUAACCAUGCUCAAAGCGAAGGCUACAUCAGGGCGAGUACAAGUCAUAGCGUACAUGAUUGAGCCAACUGCGGAAGCGUAUGGUACUCGGCUCAUUUCUGCUAUCUCAGCUUCGGUACUCGGACUUUGAGUCUUACUCAAUUUGGCAUUACUUUGUAUCGGUAGUUCUCCCUUCUUUGAGUUUUCCAUACUAAAACGUUUUAGUACCUUCUCUAAGUAAGUAUUCUGACUAAGUCCAAUUAGUCUCUUACUUCUUUCUCUUACUAUCCUUAUUCCCAAAAUGUAAGAAGCCUCUCCGAGGUCCUUCAUAGCGAAGCACUUCCCGAGCCAGGACUUAACUUCCUGCAGAGUCGGGAUGUCGUUUCCUAUGAGUAAUAUGUCAUCGACAUAUAGAACGAGGAAGCUUACUAUACUCCCACUGGCUUUGACAUAUACACAAGAUUCGUCUUCGCUUCGUACAAAUCCAAACUCUUUGACUUUCUCAUCGAAGCAAAGAUUCCAUCUGCGAGACGCUUGCUUAAGUCCAUAAAUGGACUUCUCAAGCUUACACACUCUAUUCGGAUGCUUCGGAUCCACAAACCCCUCUGGCUGAGCCAUGUAAACAUCCUCAGCCAACUUUCCGUUAAGGAAAGCGGUCUUGACAUCCAUUUGCCAAAUCUCAUAAUCAUGAAAUGCGGCAAUUGCUAGCAUCACUCUAAUAGAUUUAAUCUUCGCAACUGGUGAGAAGGUCUCAUCAUAGUCAACUCCGGGAGUUUGAGUAAAGCCCUUCGCAACCAAUCGCGCUUUAUAUGUGUGUACGUUUCCAUCCACGUCGGUCUUCUUCUUGAAGAUCCAUUUGCACCCAACGGUCUUACGUCCGGGCACAUAAUCAACCAAAUUCCAAACUUGGUUAUCAUACAUGGAUUGGAUCUCGCUAUCCAUUGCCUCUUUCCAUUUUGCAGACUCCGGGCCUGCCAUGGCUUCCUUAUAGCUAUUAGGUUCAUCAAGAUUUAUUAGUGUACCAUCACUAAUAUACGUGUCCCCUUCGGUAGUAAUAUGAAAACCAUAAAACUGGGGUUGAACUCUAACUCUAUCGGAACGUCUAAGAGGUAAGGAUUCGUCAAUCGGUUCAACCGGAGUUUCCUCCUCGGGUUGAGUGCCAGCGGUAGAGGUUCCUUCAUCUAUCGACUCUUGAAUCUCUUCAAGCUCGAUUUGCCUCCCACUGUCUCCUUGGCUUAUGAGUUCUCGCUCUCGGAAAACUCCUCUCCUCGCAACGAAGACAACAUUGUCCUUCGGUCUAUAGAAGAGAUAUCCAAAGGAUGUCUGCGGGUAGCCGAUGAAAAUACAUCGCUCACUUCGAGGUUCAAGCUUGUCGUGAGUAUCUCGUCUUACGAAAGCCUCGCAACCCCAAACCUUGAUAUGUGCCAACGAGGGAGCUUUCCCUGUCCACAUCUCGUGAGGUGUUUUGGCAACCUUCUUAGUAGGGACUCGGUUAAGGAUAUGGGCGGCAGUCUCUAAGGCAUACCCCCAAAAAGAGAUUGGUAGUGAAGCACGACUCAUCAUAGAGCGAACCAUAUCCAAUAAGGUUCGAUUACGCCUUUCUGCCACACCAUUCAACUGCGGUGUCCUAGGAGGCGUCAAUUGCGAAACUAUUCCACACUCCUUGAGAUAAUCGUGGAAUUCAAGACUUAGGUACUCUCCUCCUCGAUCGGAUCGAAGCAUCUUGAUUUUCCUGCCCAAUUGAUUCUCCACUUCAUUCUUGAACUCUUUGAACUUUUCAAAGGUGUCUGACUUUUGCUUGAUUAAGUAGAUAUACCCAUAUCUACUAUAGUCAUCGGUAAAAGUCACAUAGAAGCGGUUCCCAUCCUUCGUGGUUGAUCUAAACGGUCCACAUACAUCGGUAUGUAUUAGGUCCAAUAGACCCUCGCCCCUUUCACAUGUACUCGUGAAGGGUGACUUAGUCAUCUUUCCAAGCAAACAAGACUCGCAUGUGUCAUCUUCCCUAAGGUCGAAUGACUCCAACACUCCAUCCUUUUGGAGUUGGGCUAUGCGUUUCUUGUUGACAUGUCCAAGACGACAAUGCCACAAGGAUGCUUUAUCCAUACUAGUGGAAGAAUCAAUAUUCAAAACAUCAUUUCCUAAGUUAUCAACAAUCAUAACGGUUUCAUAUAUUCCAUUACAUGGUAUAGCUUCAAAGUAAAAGACACCAUUUAGAUAAGCCAAAAUAGAACCAUUCUCAUUAUUAAAAGAAAAUCUAAAUCCUUGUCUAUAUAAACCAUGAAAUGAAAUGAUGUUUCUUGCCAUUUCUGGCGAAUAGCAACAAUUGUUCAAAUCUAAAACUAAACUAUUCCUAAGCACUAAGGAAUACACUCCAAUCUUGGUCACAGGCGACGAUCUUCUGUUCCCCAUGAUUAGAUUGAUCCUUCCUUGCUCCACAUCCCUACUUCUUCUUAGUCCCUGCACAUUAGAACAAAUGUGAUAACCACAACCGGUAUCAAGAACCCAAGAAAUAGCAUGAUUAGAAUCGUUAGAUUUGAUUGUAUAUAUACCUGCGAAAGAUGGCUUGAUCUUUCCUUCUUUGAUUGCUUGCAGGUAAUCCGGGCAGCUUCUCUUCCAAUGUCCUAUCUUGUGGCAGUGGUGGCACUCUGCCUCCUUCGGGUUAGAGCAGGGCUUGGCGGGAUCAACUUUGGUCCCACUAGAAGAGGCACCAUCUCGGGCUUUCACCUUGCGAUAGUUCUUCGAUGAAGCUUUCCUCUUCUUUCCCUUCCCUUGUCCAAUAGCCAAGACAGGAGCAGCGGGCGGAUUGGGAGUAGGUGCAACAGACUUGUCUUUGAAGUUGCUCUCAGCAACCCUCAAGAGACCUUGGAGCUUGCUUAGGGUGACCUCUUCUUUGUUCAUGUGGUAGGUCAUCCUAAAUUGGUUGUACAUCGGAGGCAAAGAGUGAAGCACCAUGUCGAUCGCCAAGUCUUCACCGAAGUCAACAUUUAACUUGCGGAGGCGGUCAACAUACCUUUGCAUCUUUUGCAAGUGCACGGUAAGAGAUUCUCCAUGACCCAUCUUCGCGGAAAUCAUGUUAGUGAAAAUCUCGUACCUCUCUUGUCUCGCGUUUUGGUGGUACCUCUCCAAUAAGUCUUGAUGCAUCUCGUACGGGUACAUGUCCUCGUAGGACUUUUGGAAUUCGGAGUUCAUGGUGGCGAUCAUGAUGCAAUGUACCUUCGUUGCAUCUCGCUCAUGAGUUUCAAAGGCGGUGAUUUCGGCGGGAGUAGCAAUUUCGGGGUUGAUUUUCUCGAGCUUCUCAUCGAGGACAUACUCCUUAUCCUCAUAGCGAGCAAUGGUGCGAAUGUAUCUUAUCCAUUCGCUAAAGUUCGUUCCAUCGAAGGUGACCUUUUGGCAAAGGCUCAUCAACGUGAAAGAACUAGCAGCAGCGUUGUUUGCGUUCGACAUCUACAAUUAGAAAAGGACAAAGAUAGAUUAGAAUAAGAAUCCCUAAUUAUCACCCAAUAAGAAAAUUAGGGCUAGGAUCCAACAAUAACAUUUACAUACUAGAAAAGGGAUGCCGUAAUCUAACAUGCAAAUAAAUUGAAGGUAAGUGAAUGACGAUUCACUAAUUCUCCAUCACAAAACUUAAACUAUUAGUCCUAAGUGUUUUUGAGAAUUCCUAGGUUCGGAUGAGAUUCAUUGAAACUAUUCAAUGGCAUGUUUAAAUCUCGAUAUGCCCCUCUUGUUUGUGACUGGGAUGCCGAGGAUCACAAAGCGGGUGUGAAUUACCAUGCAAAUUCACAUGGUGCCUUCAUUGUAACAAUCACCUAUUCGAUGUGCCGGUAAACCACACACGCUCCAUCGAACUAUGAUAAACAAUGAAUCACCCUUUGCCACCUUCGCUUAGAACCAAUUAGUGUGCCGGUAAACCACACACGCUCCACUAACAUCUUAGCAAGGUGCAAAGUGUAAUUUCAUGGGAUUGCAUCAAUUCACUUUUCCUAAAGUAACUAGGAUUGGGAAAUUUUAAAAAAAUGUGUAGUUACUUUAUAUUUCUUAUUAUACUUUUAAUGAGAGGAUGAGGUUGCCCUAUCCUACCCGUUCGGCUAACGACCCUCCACCAAUCAAGCAAGCGGUGGGUGUGAGUGUACACCCAUUAAGCGCCAUUUUAUAGGCCGCAACCUUAUACCCACCUUAUAGAUCGGCUUCGUGAAUGAGGCCUACUAACGGUAAGACUAGCAUUUAGUUAUACAUAUAUAUAUUAUUCUAGUAAUAUCAUAUUAGUAUAGGGUUGUAUUUUAAAACUUUUAAAAUCUAGGGUUUGAAAUUUAAGUUGUCUAAAUUAAAACUUUUAAUCACAAAAGUAAAUUUCAAAACAUGAGGGUAGGUUUUAAACAUUUAAAACAUGGAGGAUCAAAUAACAAAUAAUUCCAAUUAACAAUUAAUAUCCUAAUUAUCUAUAUUUGAUUUAUUCAAGAUUUCUUUUAAAGAUAAUUACCAAAAUAAUCAAAAUAAUUAAUUAAUUAUCAUAUAAGGAAAUUAAAUAUUUAAUUAGUUGAUAAUUACCUUUAACUAGAUCAAGAUAAUAGUUAUAUUUAUCAGAAAAACGAAUUAAUGUUGAUCUAAUUAGUUUAUGGUAAGUUAAGAUAAGAUAAACACAAAGAAAUCCCGAAUCUGGCCAUUCCUGACGCCUGGACUCGCCGAGUGCACAAAUGGACUCGCCGAGUCAGGCCUACUCGCCGAGUCCACUUUGAGACUCGCCGAGUCCAUGACUCAGAAACCAAAAAUUCGAAUUUUGCAGGUUUGUUUCAGUUAAUCAAGCAACAAUUUACAGAAAACCAAGCUAGGCUCUGAUACCACUGAUGGGUUUUAGCCAUAAGAACUUUCCUAUGUGCGCAUGCAAAACCCUAAUGCUUGGAUCUAGGCUUUCUAAUUAAACAUGCUUUGAAUCCAAGACUUCUAAUGACUAAUUAGGUUAAAUAACAACAUUGAAACAGAUCUAGAACCAUACCUUUGAGUUCCUUGUUGAUCUUGUAGUCUUGGAGCUUCUAGAGUCACAAUUGUCACUCCUCUAAUGGCUUACAAACACCAAUAGCAAGAAAGAUGAUUUAGGAGAAAGGAGAGGGGAGGAAAUCGGCCAGGGUUCUCUUAUUUUAGGUGAGGUGCCGAUUUCCCUUGCCCAUGGGGUCUAUUUAUACUUGUAGAUUCCUUAAGGGUUACAACCUAAACCCUUAUUGGAUAAUCUUCUCUUAAGGCUAUCCAAAUCCUUUCCUUAGAUAAGUCAUUGGACGAUUUUGAAGCUAUCCUAGCUUCUAGAAUCCGUCCACUAUAUAUCUAUAAGGAUUUAUAGUCUAAAGCUUAAAUAUCAAACAAUUGACAAUUUAUACCCCUUUAUUUAAUUAACCUCUUUAAGUCACCAAAUUAAUUCCAAUUAAUUCUAUGACUUAUAUUAAUCAAAUAACAAUAUAUUAUUCUUUAUAUUAUUCCCAUAAUAUAUUAAUAAUAUUCACUCUCUCUUAAUAAAUCAUCCUAUCAAGUUGCUAUGGUGAAGGCAACCCAAAAGGACCAUGCACAACCGGGUCAAAUACUUGCCUAAUAUAGUUACAACCUUAGACACUAUUCCAACAUAUACGAGUCAGGAAGUAAAGGACAUUAAGAGCAUUCCAGAAGUACGCGACUUUCCCGAUAUCUUUCCAGAAGAACUAC